UUUAAAGUAAGCUAACUUAAGCUAGUGGGCUCAUACCCCAAAUAUGAAUACUUCCUUUAAUA
rnacentral:tRNA from 1 species